ensembl:snRNA U5 U5 spliceosomal RNA
AUAAUCUGAUUUCUCUUCAGAUCAAAUAAAUCUUUCCCCUUUUAAUGAAGAUUUCCAUGGAGAGAAACAAUUCUGAGAUUCACAGUCCAAGAGAACAAAUUUCUUGUUACCAAAGGGGAA